GGGGCGGCCGGCGCCUAGCUAGCUGGUUCGCCUUUUGUUCCGGCGUGCGAGGAACUGGGCCGACCGAGGAGCUCGGGCGUGCGUGUGUAAAUCAGAAGGCGUUUGGCUCGGAGCCAUGUUUUUUUUCCCCUUCUCCUUAAUUGUGCAGACAGAAAAAUCCCUUCCACCGGUUUUCCCGGGGAGACGGGCUACGCCGGCCCGGCCUCCCCACAGUCCCUCGUUUGCUCUGUCGGCCUCCGGGUCCCGGGGCGGCUCUCUUUCCUUUUUCUCUUUCCUGCUCUUCCCACCUUCAGCCAAGCGGGGCCAGCCAGCGGGUGAGCGGGGUGUCUGCAAAGCAGCCGGGUCACCUGUCGUAGCAGCUGCAUGGAAAUCCCGGCGCUUUUGCUGUCUGGAGCCUGUGCGGUUUCCUCUGGCAAAUCACGGAGAUUCCGCUCCUAGCACCAACCCUUCCUCUUUUGCUCUGCACUCUCUUAACCCAGCUCCUGAUGCUGAUGUGAAGUUUCACCGUUUGGGGACAAUUAGCAAGGAGGUGUCCACUUCUUUCUUUCAGAGGCACCGCUUGCUUGGGAAGAGUUGGAAGAGUCCAUCCAGGACCUUCAAGGCAUGAAUAAUCUGACGGUUCCUGAAUUGACGGGGAAAACAAACAUAUCAAGUGCCAUUUGAAGAGUGUCUACAUGUGUAAAACUUUUUCUCAUCAUAUAAACUUUUUCAUAAGAAGACAUUCCGAACAUCAAGAGUUUUGUAACUGAUGAAAAUUAAAAAAUUAAUUUAAGCAUCAGAUGGAACAACUUUCUACUGUUGGAGUCAGGAGUCCAUGGAGAACAGCCCGUCACUAAUGGCAGAUUUUCCUUACGGUGUUCAUGGGCAAAAGCAACUUCACAGAAGAAAAAAUUGCAUAGAUUAAGUCUAAAGAAAAUCUCUCCAGUGUAAAGAAGGAGCAGACUAAAAACUCUGGAUUGAAGUUCAGUAACUUUCACUGUGGUGGUGGCUGCAGUAAGGGGACAGAUCUGAGAAGGAGCGGAUUCCUUUGUGUCUUCAGCUCUUUGAAUUUUUUAUUUAUUGUUUAUCUUUUCUGCAUAUAUAUGCUAUUUUAAAAUAUUAAUUGGAACUGUCAAUUACAAAAUAAUAUCAAGAAAAGCUUUUCUUGGUCUAAAGAUGUGAACAGGCUUGAAUGUGAACAGGAAGGUAUCUUUUAGCAACACUUGGAGCCGGUCUUGGGAGCUGGUACAGCUUGGAGAACUCUGAUACACAUACUUGGGUAGAUGGUUUAAAGAUUUGGAUCUGAGAAGAAUAUUAUUUAAUAGACAUAAUUCUAAGAUUGCUUUUUCAUUAAGGUAGAAAAAUAGAUGAUCUUUAUGAGUGGAAAAGCAGGGAAAUGAGAAAAAGGAGAAACAGAAUCCUGCAGCUUGACCUUCUGUAAGCAAGAAGUAGGAGCAAACUAAGGAAAACACUUGGUCAUUUAGAUAGCAGUUUGCUCACACUCAGUGACCUGCUGGCCUCCACCUCUGCUGAGGGAAGGGGCUUUGCUCCAGUCUCUAUGGCACUGAGGGUUGUUCCGGUCCAUGGAAGAGUCAUUCUAGGGAGCCUCGUGUUCCUAGGGACACAGGGCCGGUCUUUGAGACAGGACGCUUCUGGCUGUGAACAGUGGAGGAAGGAGUGAUUUUCUCGUGGAAACGUUGGCUGCUGCUGCAUGAGCUCUGCUCUGACUUUGCACGUUAGUGUGCCUUUCCCUUUAUGCAGCCUUUUCCAGCUGUACAGCAGAAACUUGCCUCGUUAGAAAACGUGCCAGAGGGUGGCUUCAGAGGGAAGAUGAUCUGGUGUGAUCAUUCUCUGCAUUUGAACUGUUGAAUAGAGAGAUCCAGCUAGAGGGAUUCUUACCGCCUUACUUGAAAUCUAUGUGUUUGUAACCCCUUAUCUCUGGAAUCACAUUACAAAAAACAAACAAAACAAACAAAAAACCAAAAAACUGGAAUCUCAGGCUGAGAAUAAGAAGACUGAGUAAAAGUGAAGAGAACUGCUUCUCCAUCAUCACUACUAACAGCUCUUUCUCCAAA